rnacentral:rRNA from 1 species
UGGGGAAUAUUGCACAAUGGGCGGAAGCCUGAUGCAGCAACGCCGCGUGCGGGAUGACGGCCUUCGGGUUGUAAACCGCUUUCGCCUGUGACGAAGCGUGAGUGACGGUAAUGGGUAAAGAAGCACCGGCUAACUACGUGCCAGCAGCCGCGGUGAUACGUAGGGUGCGAGCGUUGUCCGGAUUUAUUGGGCGUAAAGGGCUCGUAGGUGGUUGAUCGCGUCGGAAGUGUAAUCUUGGGGCUUAACCCUGAGCGUGCUUUCGAUACGGGUUGACUUGAGGAAGGUAGGGGAGAAUGGAAUUCCUAGUGGAGCGGUGGAAUGCGCAGAUAUCAGGAGGAACACCAGUGGCGAAGGCGGUUCUCUGGGCCUUUCCUGACGCUGAGGAGCGAAAGCGUGGGGAGCGAACAGGCUUAGAUACCCUGGUAGUCCACGCUGUAAACGGUGGGUACUAGGUGUGGGGUCCAUUCCACGGGUUCCGUGCCGUAGCUAACGCUUUAAGUACCCCGCCUGGGGAGUACGGCCGCAAGGCUA